rnacentral:tRNA from 1 species
UCCGCGUUAGCUCAGUCGGUAGAGCACAUGACUGUUAAUCAUGGUGUCCCUGGUUCGAACCCAGGACGCGGAGCCA